GACGAACGCUGGCGGCGUGCUUAAUGAAUGCGAGUCGAGCGAGAACCAGAUGAGUGCUUGCACAAGUCUGGGGAGAGCGGCAAACGGGUGAGUAACACGUGGGUAACCUGCCCUGCAGACGGGCAUAACAGUUGGAAACGACUGCUAAUUCCCGAUGGUCUGUGGGAGCGUAAGCUUCCAUAGUAAAGGUUUAUUCCGCUGCAGGAUGGGCCCGCGGGCCAUUAGCUUGUUGGUAGGGUAACGGCCUACCAAGGCGACGAUGGCUAGCCGGUCUGAGAGGAUGGUCGGCCACACUGGGACUGAGACAUGGCCCAGACUCCUCCGGGAGUUAGCAUCAGGGAAUCUUGCGCAAUGGGCGAAAGCCUGACGCAGCGACGCCGCGUGAGGGAUGAAGGUCUGCGGAUCGUAAACCUCUGUAAGCAGGGACGAAUGCCCGAUUCUGUCGGGAGUGACGGUACCUGCAGAGUAAGCUCCGGCUAACU
rnacentral:rRNA from 1 species